rnacentral:rRNA from 1 species
GCAGUCGAGCGGAUACAAGAUAUCAGAACCUUCGGGGGACGAUAACGGCGUCGAGCGGCGGACGGGUGAGUAAUGCCUAGGAAAUUGCCCUGAUGUGGGGGAUAACCAUUGGAAACGAUGGCUAAUACCGCAUGAUGCCUACGGGCCAAAGAGGGGGACCUUCGGGCCUCUCGCGUCAGGAUAUGCCUAGGUGGGAUUAGCUAGUUGGUGAGGUAAGGGCUCACCAAGGCGACGAUCCCUAGCUGGUCUGAGAGGAUGAUCAGCCACACUGGAACUGAGACACGGUCCAGACUCCUACGGGAGGCAGCAGUGGGGAAUAUUGCACAAUGGGCGCAAGCCUGAUGCAGCCAUGCCGCGUGUGUGAAGAAGGCCUUCGGGUUGUAAAGCACUUUCAGUCGUGAGGAAGGUAGUGUAGUUAAUAGCUGUAUUAUUUGACGUUAGCGACAGAAGAAGCACCGGCUAACUCCGUGCCAGCAGCCGCGGUAAUACGGAGGGUGCGAGCGUUAAUCGGAAUUACUGGGCGUAAAGCGCAUGCAGGUGGUUUGUUAAGUCAGAUGUGAAAGCCCGGGGCUCAACCUCGGAAUUGCAUUUGAAACUGGCAGACUAGAGUACUGUAGAGGGGGGGUAGAAUUUUCAGGUGUAGCGGGUGAAAUGCGUAGAGAUUCUGAAAGGAAUACCGGGUGGCGAAAGGCGGCCCCCUGGGACAGAUACUGACACUCAGAUGCGAAAGCGUGGGGGGAGCAAAACAGGAUUAGAUACCCCUGGUAGUCCCACGCCGUAAACGAUGUCUACUUGGGAGGUUUGUGGCCUUGAGCCCGUGGCCUUUUCGGAGCUAACGCGUUAAGUAGACCGCCUGGGGAGUACGGUCGCAAGAUUAAAACUCAAAUGAAUUGACGGGGGCCCGCACAAGCGGUGGAGCAUGUGGUUUAAUUCGAUGCGACGCGAAGAACCUUACCUACUCUUGACAUCCAGAGAACUUUCCAGAGAUGGAUUGGUGCCUUCGGGAACUCUGAGACAGGUGCUGCAUGGCUGUCGUCAGCUCGUGUUGUGAAAUGUUGGGUUAAGUCCCGCAACGAGCGCAACCCUUAUCCUUGUUUGCCAGCGAGUAAUGUCGGGAACUCCAGGGAGACUGCCGGUGAUAAACCGGAGGAAGGUGGGGACGACGUCAAGUCAUCAUGGCCCUUACGAGUAGGGCUACACACGUGCUACAAUGGCGCAUACAGAGGGCAGCCAACUUGCGAAAGUGAGCGAAUCCCAAAAAGUGCGUCGUAGUCCGGAUUGGAGUCUGCAACUCGACUCCAUGAAGUCGGAAUCGCUAGUAAUCGUGGAUCAGAAUGCCACGGUGAAUACGUUCCCGGGCCUUGUACACACCGCCCGUCACUGCCCAGGAAGGCCCGCAAAAGAAGCCAGGUAGUGUGAUCGUGGCUCAGAUGAAUC